GACGAACGCUGGCGGCGCGCCUAACACAUGCAAGUCGAACGAGCGAGCGAGAGCUUGCUUUCUCAAGCGAUUGGCGUACGCGUGAGUAACGCGUGAGGAUCCUGCCUCAAAGAGGGGGACAACAGUUGGAAACGUCUGUUCAUACCGCAUAAGCUCCCGUCCCCGCCUCGGGCAGAGUGAAACGGAGCAAUCCGCUUUGACAUGGCCUCGCGUCCGCUUAGCUAGUUGGUGAGGUAACAGCCCACCAAGGCUACGAUCGGUAGCCAGACUGAGAGGUUGAUCGGCAACAUUAGGACUGCGACAAGGCCCAGAUUCCCACGAGCGGUAGCAGUAGUGAACAUCGCACCAUGGGUGAUACCCUGAUGCAGCGACGCCGCGUUGACGAAGAAGGUCUUCAGAUUGUAAUCGCAUGUUGUUAAGGACGAUAAUGUCUGUACUAAACAAGAAAGCGACGCCUAACUACGU
rnacentral:rRNA from 1 species